ACUCUUGCCUGGAAAAAUCCCAUGGACAGAGGAGCCUGAACCGUGUGAUGGAGAACUUACUGCCUGCCUCCUAAGAUAACUGGACUCCAUGCUGUGGCUGGAAGGGAUGGGCUCUGGAAUGAUGAGAGGAGAUGAUGGAGGGAUAAACCCGCAGUUCUCAAUGUUUCCUGUCUUACCCUUCCGCAAGUGCUCUGCAAUCAAAACAAGAAAACAGACUCUUCCAAUGGCAUUUAUCCUGACUGAUACCAGAGGAACUGUUACUGAAUCCUUAUGUCUUACCUUUACUUCCGUGGGUUCCUGUUGCUAUCCAGGCCACCGGGGGGUAGUCAAGUCUCUCCAGGGCCUGGAGAUGUAAGAUUGUGGAUGACUCCUGGAAGCCUCAAAGGAGCAGCCGUGCCCAAAACACCACUUUUCUCAGAGGUACCUUGCCAUGGCCAGUAGCAUCUUGCAAGAUGGUGUUGGGCAAGUCCUACUCAAGUAUGGUCCAUGAUUGGAAACCUCCUAAACCCAGUGAGCCACUAAUUUGCUCUGUGAUCUUGGGCAAAUCAAGUUCAAUCUCAACGUUUCCAUCUGUUUGUUAAAGAGCAGAAAGGGCAGUCCAAUGGUUAGGACUCCGAGCUUCCACUGCAGGGGGCGUGGGUUUGCUCCCUGGUCCCACAAGCUGGGUGGCAUGGCAGAAACAAAAUUAAAAAGAACGAAGGGAUAAUUUUUCUAAAUUCUUUUAAAAUACAUUGUUUUAAGGGGAUAGAUGGCAUGGGAGAAAUGAUAGGUGUUACCUUCUAUCCCUCCUUCUUGCCCAUCCUCCCUGGGUUUCUGUAUCAAAUAAGAUAACAAGCAUGAAAAGGCCCUGAAAAGUACAAAGUCCCAUAAAAAGGCAAGAAAGUGUUAUUAUCAACAUAGUCGUUAGAGGAGAGGGAUGAAGGCAGGGCACAGGCUGAAAGCCAAACAGCUGGAAGGCAGGAAAUCUUAACACCAAAAAAGGAAACUUUCUUUGUUCAAAUUCUUCCUGGAGUGGUACUUUCUUUGGUGCAGACCUGGCACUGAAAUCCUCUGAAUGCUGACACAGCUCCAGGAAAGUGUCCGGGGACAGGUAGGGCAUUCAGCAGCCAAAAGACACUGGAGAAACACCCAGCCUGAUUCUUCACUUCUUCUGUGAUCCAACAAAGGAUGCAACGGAAGGGAGAGUUUCAGAUUCAAAGCCAGCUCUCCUGUGAAGUUGGUACCACAUUUGACACGCAUGAAAACAGGCUCAGAGAGUAGUUCGCAGAUAAUAAACAGCACAGCAGGACUCUGAUGCCGAAGCCUGCUCUGGCAACCACUGUGUUGUGCGGUCUUCACCAUGCUGUUUGAGCACAGAGGACCACCUUGGACUAGGGAGGAGGCAGGGGGAGGACUGUGGAGAGCAGGAGACGUCCAGGAGGAGUUGAUAUCUGAACUGAGCCUUGGAGUAGGAUGGGGCGGGGAGGUUGUUGUUCAGUCACCAAGUCACGUCUGACUCUUUGCAACCCCAUGGACUGCAUGCCAGGCUUCCCUGUCCUUCACUGUCUCCUGGAUCUUGCUCAAAUUCACAUCCAUAGAGUCAGUGAUGCUAUCUAACCAUCUCGUCCUCUGUUGUCCCCUUCUCCUCCUGCCUUCAGUCUUUCUCAGCAUCAGAGUCUUUUCCAAUGAGUCAGCUCUUGGCAUCAGGUGGCCAAAGUAUUGGAGCUUCAACUUCAGCAUCAGUCUUUCCAAUGAAUAUUCAGGGGGUGGGGGGAGAGUCACUGUAAACAGAAGGAUCCACAGUGUGAACAGCACCUGUGUGAUCAGGGUGCAGGGCUGGAAGCAGGUUGCAUGCCCCUAAGAGCGAGUGCCUCCCUAAAUUUGCACCCUGAGCACUUCUCUUGCCCCACCCUCAUCCAAGACCUGACAGGGAGGGUGGAGUUUGGGCAGGAAGAGUUUUGAAGAGAAGGAUCCAGAAAAAGAAGGUGAAUUCAACACAACCUAAGAGACGCAAGUGGUGGUGUCUGGUUUUCAGCAUCUGAAAUGGACUCUCAGGGCACAUCGGUAGAGUCCAAAGUGGAAAACCCAAGAGGAAUGAGAACCGUUAAAAUAACCACGCGAACAACCCUCUCUGCCCAGAUUCCCCACACACCUUUCUUAUGCUCACCUUCCACUCUGGUCUUGGAUAUCACUUCCUCCAGGAAGCAUCCCUGGGUCCCCCAGGCUUGCCUUAGGGCACUUGGGUUCCUAUUUCGGAAUUGCUCUUGGCCUUUCUGUUUCCACACUAGGCUGUGCAUUCCCUGAGGACAGGGGUUGGGUCUUCUGACCCUUCCAUCUCCAGCAGAGCAUGUGGCUCAUAGUAGCUGCUCAGUAACAGACAGUCAGAUGAAAGAAUAACAAACAGCCUCCCAGGGGCCUCUGCCAAGUUCAGGCCAUUUUCUCUUUGUCUCUGGAGUACUGCCAACCUCAGCAUUAGGAAUCCAACAUGUGUUGGAACCAGGAGAAACCUUAAAAAUCAUUUAUUUAUCUCCUUCCUCCCACCUUUUCCGGAUGGGUUGAUUG
ensembl:lncRNA